UCCGGUUUAUAACCGGCAGUCUCCUCUGAGUUCCUGGCCGAACCAAUGGCAACAGAGGAUAAGGGUUGCGCUCGUUGCGGGACUUAACCCAACAUUUCACAACACGAGCUGACGACAGCCAUGCAGCACCUGUCUCACAGUUCCCUAAGGCACUCUCUCAUCUCUGAGAGAUUCUGUGGAUGUCAAGACCAGGUAAGGUUUUUCGCGUUGCAUCGAAUUAAACCACAUGCUCCACCGCUUGUGCGGGCCCCCGUCAAUUCAUUUGAGUUUUAGCCUUGCGGCCGUACUCCCCAGGCGGUCGACUUAACGCGUUAGCUUCGGAAGUCACUUCUCAAGGAAACAACCUCCAAGUCGACAUCGUUUACGGCAUGGACUAC
rnacentral:misc_RNA from 1 species